UAAAAGCCUACCAAGCCUAGGAUCCUUAGCUGUUCUGAGAGGUUGAACAGCCACACUGGGACUGAGACAAGGCCCAGGCUCCAUUUGGAGCCAGCAGUGAGGAAUUUUGGACAAUGAGCGAAAGCUUGAUCCAACAAUACUACAUGAGUGAAGAAGGCUUUCAAGUUGUAACACUCUUUGGUUGAGGAGGAUAAUGACAGUACUCAACAAAAUAGCCCCGGCUAACUUCGUGCCAGCAGCCGCGGUAAGACGAAGGGGGCGAGCGUUAUCCGGAAUGACUGGGCGUAAAGGGUCCGUAGGCAGCAUUUUUUGUUGGAAGUUAAAUAAAAAAGCUUAACUUUUUUCCGCUUCUAAAACGUAAAUGCUUUGAGUUUGAUAGAAGAUAGCAGAAUUUCACAAGGAGGGGUGAUAUCCAGAGAUCUGUGAAGGAAUAUCAGAUGCGAAGGCGGCUAUCUAGAUCAACACUGACGUUGAGGGACGAAAGCAUGGGGAGCAAACAGGAUUAGAUACCCUGGUAGUCCAUGCCUUAAAAGAUGAGUGUUCGUGCUUAGAGAACUUUAGGCACUUAGUUAACACGUUAAACACUCCGCCUGGGGAGUACGAUCGCAAGGUUGGAACUCAAAGGAAUUGACGGGGGCCUAUACAAGUGGUGGAGCAUGUGGUUUAAUGCGAUAAUACGCGCGAAACCUUACCAGUUCUUGACAUAAAAAAGAAAAAGUUUGAAAAAGCAAUUUUAAAGAUUUUUACAGGUGCUGCAUGGCUGUCGUAAGCUCGUGUCGUGAGAUGUUAGGUUAACUCCUUUUAACGGGCGAAACCCCUUUUUUUCGUUGCUACUUAAUUUUAUUUUUAAAGCACUCUAAAAAAACUGCUCCCUUUUUCUAAUUCGGAGAGGAAGGUGGGGAUGACGUCAAGUCCUUAUGGCCCUUAUGAACUGGGCUACACACGUGCUACAAUGGUAAAGACAAUAAGAAGUGAUAGGGUAACCUGAAACCAAUCUUUAAACUUUAUCAAAGUUCGGAUUGUGGACUGCAACUCGUCCAUAUGAAGGUGGAAUCACUAGUGAUCGCACAUCAGCAUGUUGCGGUGAAUUUGUACCUAGGCCUUGUACACACCGCCCGUCACGUGCCGGGAGUUGGC
rnacentral:rRNA from 1 species